ensembl:lncRNA
AUUGAAUUUUGACAUUCAAAAAAAUGGAAAGCCCAUGCUACUUUCUCUGUAACUGAUAUUCCAAAGAAAGGAACAUUUUAUUUGGAGUAAUAUUAAUCCCUCCUCUAGUGCCUGAAAGUGUCAAAUGUGAAAACAUUAUCAAAGGAAUUAAUGGUGGGAAAAUUAGUCUUACCUCUUCUCUGGAGUACAUAUAGUUUAAAGUGAUUUAUGAUCAAUUUAAAGAUAUUGGGAACUGUUGGAUAUAUAGACGCUUUCUGAAGAAAUCUAAAUGCCAGGACAUAGGAAUAUUAUAAAAUUGCCUUAUCUUGUUAUAUGAAAAUUGAAAGUAAGCAAGAAGUUGGUGUUUGUUUCUAGACAUUGAGAUUCUCCCAAUUAUCUCGAAUAUUUCUUCCUAAGGAAAAUAUCACAAUAAUGUUUAAUUACUUAUUAUAUCCCUUUCCUUCAGUUCAGUCGCUCAGUUGUGUCCGACUCUUUGCGACCCCAUGAACCGCAGCACGCCAGGCUUCCCUGUCCAUCACCAACUCCCGGAGUUCACUCAGACUCACGUCCAUCGAGUCAGUUUGGCUUUGAACUGUCCAAACCUAAAAGCAACUGUCCACUGGCUUGAGCUGAUGGGUUGUAUUACCAUCAAACCCUUGUCCAGUGAAGAUUCUGGAACUGGAGUGAGGAGGCCCCAGUGGCGGUCUAGGCCCUCUACAAACAUGAAAAGUCUUUGUACCAUACAGUUUCAACUGCAAAACAUUCUGAAAAAGGCAAAAUUGGUUGCAAGAAGUUAGAAGAAAAGAGAGAAGAAUAGAUGAGCACAGAGGAUGUCUCGGGCAGUGACAACACUCUGUAUGACAGUGAUGGACACAUGUCCUUACACAUCUGUCCACGCCCAUUGAAUGGAUGGCACCAAGAGUGAACCCAAAUGUAAACUGUGGGCUUUGGAUGAUGAAGAUGUGUCAGUGUGGGUUCACGUGCUGUGUGUUAGUCGCUCAGUCAUGUCUGACUCUUUGUGAACCCAUGGACUGUAGCCCACCAGGCUCUUCUGCCCAUGGAAUUUUCUAGGCAAGAAUACUGGAGUGGGUUGCCAUUUCCUCCUCCAGGGGAUCUUCCCCACCCAAGGACUGAUCCUUUAUCUCUUGCAUCUCCUGCAUUGACAAGCAGAUUCUUUACCACUGUGCCACCUGGGAAGUCCGAUGUAGGUUCAUAAAUUGUAAUAAAGGUACCGCUUUGGUGAGGGAGGUGGAUAAUGAGGGAGGCUAUGCCUCUGUGAGGUCAGGGUAUAGGAGGGAAAUCUCUGACUUUCCAC